rnacentral:misc_RNA from 1 species
GAUGAAGAACGUAGCGAAAUGCGAUAAGUAAUGUGAAUUGCAGAAUUCAGUGAAUCAUCGAAUCUUUGAACGCACAUUGCGCCCCUUGGUAUUCCGAGGGGCAUGCCUGUUCGAGCGUCAUUAUAACCCCUCAAGCUCAGCUUGGUGUUGGGGCCUGCUGCACUGGCAGCCCUUAAAAUCAGUGGCGGCGCCAUCUGGCUCUAAGCGUAGUAAUUCUUCUCGCUAUGGAGUCCUGGUGGAUGCUUGCCAUCAACCCCCAAUUUUUCUAUGGUUGACCUAGGAUCAGGUAGGGAUACCCGCUGAACUUAAGCAUAUCAAUAAGCGGAGGA